AUGAACGCUGGCGGCGUGCCUAAUACAUGCAAGUCGAGCGAACGGACGAGAAGCUUGCUUCUCUGAUGUUAGCGGCGGACGGGUGAGUAACACGUGGAUAACCUACCUAUAAGCCUGGGAUAACUUCGGGAAACCGGAGCUAAUACCGGAUAAUAUUUUGAACCGCAUGGUUCAAAAGUGAAAGACGGUCUUGCUGUCACUUAUAGAUGGAUCCGCGCUGCAUUAGCUAGUUGGUAAGGUAACGGCUUACCAAGGCAACGAUGCAUAGCCGACCUGAGAGGGUGAUCGGCCACACUGGAACUGAGACACGGUCCAGACUCCUACGGGAGGCAGCAGUAGGGAAUCUUCCGCAAUGGGCGAAAGCCUGACGGAGCAACGCCGCGUGAGUGAUGAAGGUCUUCGGAUCGUAAAACUCUGUUAUUAGGGAAGAACAUAUGUGUAAGUAACUGUGCACAUCUUGACGGUACCUAAUCAGAAAGCCACGGCUAACUACGUG
rnacentral:rRNA from 1 species